rnacentral:rRNA from 1 species
UACGAAGGGGGCUAGCGUUGCUCGGAAUCACUGGGCGUAAAGCGCACGUAGGCGGACUCUUAAGUCAGGGGUGAAAUCCUGGAGCUCAACUCCAGAACUGCCUUUGAUACUGAGGAUCUUGAGUACGGGAGAGGUGAGUGGAACUGCGAGUGUAGAGGUGAAAUUCGUAGAUAUUCGCAAGAACACCAGUGGCGAAGGCGGCUCACUGGUCCGGUUCUGACGCUGAGGCGCGAAGGCGUGGGGAGCAAACAGG